UGGAGACUUUGGCUGGCUCCUAUUGAUGAAUCACAUCACAAAUGCUUCAGAUUUGGAGCAAAGCUCUGCCAUCUUUUAAGACACAGCCCUUGACCUGCUACCAUGUUUUAGUAGAGACUGAAUGCUUAAUAUGGGCCACUAAGUUACCAUGAGACCUGAGAUGCUUAUCAUGAACUGAGAGAUAUCUGACCCACUAAACCAUAAAGUUGAGCUUAUACAACAGUAUUCUAUCAUCAAAUGAAGGUGGUAUAUACAUGCUCAAGCCUGAUCAGAUCGUGAAAGUAUAAGUAAGUUGCGUGAAGUGACCCAAAUGCCCAUGGUCCCCACUCCUGCUAUAGUACGUUUUCUCUCCCAGUCUGCAAUUAUGGGCUCAUGGAGAUUUUUCUACAUUGACUUAAUAACAGUCAUAGACAUACACACAAGGAUGAGUGUAACUGUGUUCCAAUAAAAAUGUAAAUAAUAAAUAGAACAUGAGUUGGAUUUGGUCAAUGGUCCAUAGUUCACUGACUCCUAAUCUAGUGUUCUAUAAGAUAAUUAUGAUUUAUGUGCCUAGAAAACUCUUUACCUUUUUAAGUCCAUAGAAUUCACAUAAUUUAUGUUGUUGGCCUGACAUUAGAUAAAUUCACAUUAAAACCGUUUUGGUACAAAUUUAAUAAAGACCGUUAAAUACAUUACGUUGAUUGAGUCCAAGGCAAAGUCUAUGCUCCAAAAUUAUUGAACGAUUAUUAUUAACCCAAUUAAAGAUUUAUUUUGCUUAUUUUAAUUUGAACUAUGUU
rnacentral:lncRNA from 1 species